rnacentral:lncRNA from 1 species
UUGGUGCAGAUUGCUUUGAUGGUCGACUUGGCUGCUGUGAUCUAAUAUUGCAAAAUCCAAAUCUUCACUUUUAAAUCUUCACAUAUCCUUUUUCAAUCCAAACAAUAAAAUUUCAAAUACAAGUAUUUCAAUUCCACAUAUUUCAAAUACAUCAGAUUUGAAAUUCAAAUCCAAAUCCAAAUCCCGUUUCCAAAUAGGCCCUUAGUGUUUGGGCGUUUGGCUAUCUUCUCUUGUGUAUAUAUGAAUUUGUGUCUACUUUUUCUAGAAUGUUGGGUUGUUUCGAGGGGUUUGAUUAGUUAUUAGUAAUUGAUUCUUUGUUUAUAGAGGUUUAGCUAAUUUUUUGUGUUGUUUUUGUUGUUGUUGUGUGAGGUGUAGAGAUAUAAAUGGCAGGUUCUAAAAAUGCCUCAAAGAAGAAGCAAAAGCGCGAUAUCGACUUCAAGAAAAUAAAGCGAAAGAUUGGCAGAAAAUUGCCACC